UACAGAGGGUGCGAGCGUUGUUCGGAAUUACUGGGCGUAAAGCGCGCGCAGGCGGCCCUUUAAGUCUGUCGGUCAAACGCCGGGGCUCAACCCCGUGCUCGCCGCGGAUACUGGAGGGCUGGAGACAGGUAGAGGCAGGCGGAAUUCCGGGUGUAGCGGUGGAAUGCGUAGAGAUCCGGAAGAACACCAGAGGCGAAGGCGGCCUGCUGGGCCUUGUCUGACGCUGAGGUGCGAAAGCUAGGGGAGCGAACGGG
rnacentral:rRNA from 1 species